CUGGUAUUGUUGCUUAAAUUGUAUCUUGCCUUGGACAAAUAUUUUAACUUUGUUGUGGUUAUCUGAUAUUUUGGUUAUUUAACAUUACUAGUGAGGAUACAUUAAUAAAUAGUUAUUCUUGGUCAACGUUUAAGUUCAGCUUUCUCUUUGGGCCAGUUAUUUGAAACACCAGCGAGGAAAAUACAUCUGGGAUCCAAUAGAUGGAAACUCUAUGACAGAGUCAGCGAGCAUCAGUGGCAGAGGUUUACAGCUGAGUCAAAGGCAGAGGUCUACGACAGAGGUCUACGGCGGAGGUCUACGGUUGCACACCUGAAGUUAAGCAGCUCACGAGCCGAAGGACUGAUGGUUGCCCCUCUCCUCCUCCUCUACUAGCAUUAAGUAUUUAGUUGUAGGAUUAUGUAUAUAUAUAAGUAG